UACGGGGGGGGGCAAGCGUUGUUCGGAAUUACUGGGCGUAAAGGGCUCGUAGGCGGUCUGUCACGUCGGAUGUGAAAAUCCAGGGCUUAACCCUGGACCUGCAUUCGAUACGGGCAGACUAGAGUUCGGUAGGGGAGACUGGAAUUCCUGGUGUAGCGGUGAAAUGCGCAGAUAUCAGGAGGAACACCGGUGGCGAAGGCGGGUCUCUGGGCCGACACUGACGCUCAGGCACGAAAGCGUGGGGAGCAAACAGG
rnacentral:rRNA from 1 species